ACCCAGGAGGGGUCUGUGUCCUGUGUUUCUCGUGGCCCCGCCAACCCAGGAAGAGUGGUCUUUAAGAGCGUGUUGGAUUCUGUGGGACUCGGAAGAGGUGCCUGAACUUCCCUGUGCUUUUGAAGUCAAGGGACUCCUCCCAGUGAUUAGGAGCAGUGGAACCGUCCGGAUCCUGCCCUUGGUCCAUGCCUUUGGCCUUUGGUCAUGUAGUGGCGGCCCUUUGGGCUCUGCCAUUUGUGUUUCAGAUCAUCAGUUCUGCUAUGUGAAUGGGCAGGACUCUCCAUCGCCUUGGCAAGACAAGGUGCUCCUCGUCCAGGAAGUGUUAGGAGUCCUAGGAGCCAGCUCCUCCCAUGGGAUGUGGGCUCCCGAUGGAGGACAGAGUCUCUUCAGGGCCCUCCUGGGCUGCUGAAAUGGUCCAAGAAAACCCUUCAAGUUGACUUCCCUUCUCUAAUAUUCAAUUUUCUUGUCCAUCCAGUGGAAGAGUUGGAGUUGAUACUUGAUCCAUUUCAGCUCUAACUUACUAAAGUCUGUGAUGGCUCUGGACCUUCAUGUUUCAGGACCAGGCCUGGUCCUUCUCAGCUCUCACACUGAAGCCUCAGAACCAGCCUCACUUGGAGGGUGGUCUUCAGCUCCCAGCCAAAAGCCUCGCUUGAACCUCCUCACACUUCAAAGACAAGGAUGGUACCCGCAUGCCACUCAGCCCUUGGAAGGGAGAAACAGUUUGGCAAAGGCCACAGAAUGGACCUCGUCUCCUUACACCGAGCCCAGGGCUCCAUUUAGCAGCCACCUUUCCACCCCCACCCCCAUCUCCUCCCCUCACCCCGAUAUGCAUCUACAUGGCUGCAAACAAGAGCAGCCAAGUGUAGGACCUCCACCCACUGCCAUCAGCAGACACUCAAGUGGACAGGCUGGACUGGAGAACAAGAACAAGAAAGAGAGUUCAGAAGAAGGUCACCAGAGGCUUGAAACGGAUUGACCAAACUUGACAGUGGGACCACGACUCAUAAAAGGGUGUUGUGAAGCCAGAUCAACUCAAUGACCCCCAAAGAAACUGCGGACUUCAAGAAACUUGCAUGACUUCAGCUUCAGAAAUACUCUUCCAUGGUGUAGAAAACACACCGCCCCCAAUACCCUGCCCACAGUGGGAUUCCUUAUUCUGUCCUUCUCGUGCCAGAAGAAUGACCUCCAGUGCUUCUACCCUUUAAACACUUUUGCCAGAAACCCGAAUUCAUGAAAAGCGUGUUUAUCGCUUCACAGUUUUACGCAUUUUGUUAAAUGUGAAAGUCAGAACAAAGCAUCAAAAUACGUCUAUAGAGCUCCUGUCGUGGCUCAGGGGUUAAUGAAUCCACCUAGGAACCAUGAGGUUGCAGGUUCGAUCCCUGGCCUCGCUCAGUGGGUUAAGGAUCCAGUGUUGCCGUGAGCUGUGGUGUAGGUCCCAGAUGCGGCUCAGAUCUGGCGUUGCUGUGGCUCUGAUGUAGACCGGUGGCUACAGCUCCGAUUCAACCCCUAGCCAGGGAACCUCCAUAUGCCACAGGUGCUGCUGCCCUAGAAAGACCAAAAAAAAAAAAAGUGUAUAACAUUAAUGAAUACUUUUGUACUAUUAGCCCUCACCUUGAAACAUCGUUAGAAAUUUUCGUCUUUGUUUUUAACCAGAAAGAAGAGCUGAGAGAUUCUGUUUGGGUUCUGAUUACUGUUCAUCACAAAUGUGAUAAUGAGGAUGACCUCCGUUAAGAUGGGUCUCGUCUGACUGAUGGGUGAGGGAUGUUGAGAGGAGGCUGGACCUGGAGCAGAAGAAGAUGGGGGGUGGGGAGAAGGGCAUAAGAUGCGAGCCAGCCACAUCGCAUGGCUACUCAACCAGCCCCUCUGCCUCCCAACAGCUGGAGUUAAUAUUUAAUGAAGAUUUUUAUAUGAUAACAUGUAAAUUCAGAGUUGCAAAAUUUUCUUUAACCCUGAAUUAGAAUAUGCUACUGGUAUUUCUCAAGACCUGCCAGGAACAGGCAUUCCACCUGUUAAUGUGAAUUACGACCAUCUGAGUUGUCCCUGUGUAUAGGAGAGUAGGGUCUCUAAAUAGAGCUGAGAGGGCCUAAGACACAGCCCACGCUGCUAUCCCACUCCACCAAUGCAGCCCUUGCCUCAGCUGCCUCAAGGGCUUUUUUUUGUUUGUUUGUUUGUUCGUUUUUUGGUUUUUUUGCUUUUUAGGGCUGCACCUGUGGCAUAUGGAGGCUCCCAGGCUAGGGGGUCAAACUGGAACUACAGCUGCAGGCCUACACCACAGCCAUAGCAACGCAGGAUCCGAGCUGCAUCUGCGACCUAUACUGCAGCUCAUGGCAGCACAAGAUCCUUAACCCACUGAGCAAGGCCAGGGAUCGAACCUGCAAUCUCAUGGUUCCUAGUUGGAUACAUUUCCACUGCACCAUGAUGGGAACUCCUUUAAUGGCAUUUUGAGGACGUGUUUUUAAAUAUCCUCAAUAAUGGACUAAAGAAUUGGUGGCCCAGCAGUUAAGGGAUCUGUCAUUGUCACUGCUGUGGCUCGGGUUUGAUCCCUGGCCUGGGAACUUCCACUUGCCCACAAUGUGGCCAAGAUAAAGGAAGAAAUACUUAUUUUUUAAUGGUGGCCAUGAUGUGGCGAGGCAACCAGCAAGAGUUUUCUUUUUAGGGCUGCACCUGCAGCAUAUGGAAGUUCCCAGGCUAGGGGUCGAAUUGGAGCUGUAGCUGCCAGCCUACGCCUCAGCCACAGCAACGCCACAUCCAAGCCAUGUCUUCAACCUACACGACAACUCACAGAAAUGCUGGAUCUUUAACCCACUGACGGGGGCCAGGGAUCGAACCACAUCCUCAUGGAUAUUAGUUGGCUUCGUUACUGCUGAGCCACAGUGGGAACUCACAGCCAGAGCUCUUUCUGAGUAGUGGUCAGCGUCACUGGAAUAAAUCAAAACCUGCACAUGGCA
rnacentral:lncRNA from 1 species